rnacentral:lncRNA from 1 species
AUGGGGUGGGAGAAGAGGGUGGGGGUUAUGGGGUCUAUCUGUGGGUCUCUAUGGGGUUUCUAUGGGGUUUCUAUGGGUCUCUAUGGGGUCCCUAUGGGUUUCUAUGGGUCUCUAUGUGUCUCUAUGUGUCUCUAUGUGUCUCUAUGGGUCUCUAUGGGUCCCUAUGGGUCUCUAUGGGUCUCUAUGGGGUCUCUAUGGGGCUCUAUGGGGCUCUAUGGGUCCCUAUGGGUCUCUAUAGGGUUCUAUGGGUCUCUAUGGGUCUCUACACGUCUCUAUGGGUCUCUAUGGGGUCACUAUGGGUCUCUAUGGGUCUCUGUGGGUCUCUAUGGGGCCUCUAUGGGGCUCUGUGGGUCUCUAUGGGGUCCCUAUGGGUUUCUAUGGGUCUCUAUGUGUCUCUAUGUGUUUCUAUGGGUCUCUAUGGGUCUCUAUGGGUUUCUAUGGGGUCCCUAUGGGUCUCUAUGUGUCUCUAUGCGUCUCUAUGGGUCUCUAUGGGUUUCUAUGGGUCUCUAUGGGGCUCUAUGGGUCUCUAUGGGGUCUCUAUGGGGCUCUAUGGGUCCCUAUGGGUCUCUAUGGGUCCCUAUGUGUCCCUGUGUGUCCCUAUGGGGUCUCAAUGUGUCCCUAUGGGUCCCUAUGGGGUCUCAAUGGUUCCCUAUGUGUCUCAAUGGUUCCCUAUGGGGUCUCUAUGUGUCCCUAUGGGUCCCUAUGUGUCCCUAUGGGUCCCUAUGUGUCCCUAUGGGGUCCCUAUGGGUCCCUAUGGGGUCUCAGUGUGUCCCUAUGGGUCCCUAUGGGUCUCUAUGGGUCUCUAUGGGUCCCUAUGGGUUUCUAUGGUUCCCUAUGGGUCCCUAUGGGUCCCUAUUCAUUCCUAUGGGUCUCAAUGAGUCCCUAUGGGUCCCUAUGGGGUCUCUAUGGGUUUCUAUGGGGUCUCAAUGGUUCCCUAUGGGGUCUCUAUGGGUCCCUAUGGAUCCCUAUGGGGUCUGUAUGGGUCUGUAUGGGUCUCUAUGGGGUCCCUAUGGGUCCCUAUGGAUUUCUAUGGGUCCCUAUGGGUCCCUAUGUGUCUCAGUGGGUCCCUAUGGGGUCUCUAUGGGUCCCUAUGGAUCCCUAUGGGGUCUGUAUGGGUCUCUAUGGGUCUCUAUGGGGUCUCAAUGGGUCCCUAUGGGUCUCUAUGGGUCCCUAUGGAUCCCUAUGGGGGGUCCCUAUGGGGUCUCUAUGAGUUCCUAUGGGUCCCUAUGGGUUCCUAUGGGUCCCUAUUCAUUCCUAUGGGUCUCAAUAGGUCUCUAUGGGUCUCAAUGGUUUCCUAUGGGGUCCCUAUGUGUCCCUAUGGGUCCAUACUCACCAUGUGUGGGUCGUUGGGUCCCCUCCCCACUUUGGGUCUCUAUGGAUCCCUAUGGGUCCCUAUGGGUCCCUAUGGGUCCCUAUGGGUUUCUAUGGGUCAGAAUGGGCUUCAAUGGGGUCCCUAUGGGUUUCUAUGGGUUUCUAUGGGUCCCUAUGGGUCCCUAUGGGUCUCUAUGGGUCCUUAUGGGGUCUCAAUGGUUCCCUAUGGGUCUCAAUGGNUAUGGGGUCUCAAUGGUUCCCUAUGGGUCUCAAUGGUUCCCUAUGUGUCUCAAUGGUUCCCUAUGGGGUCUCUAUGGGUCUCAAUGGUUCCCUAUGGGGUCUCAAUGGGUUCCUAUGGGUCUCAAUGGGUCCCUAUGUGUCCCUAUGUGUCCCUAUGGGGUCUCUAUGUGUCCCUAUGUGUCUCAAUGGUUCCCUAUGGGUCUCAAUGUGUCCCUAUGUGUCCAUAUGGGGUCCCUAUGGGGUCUCAAUGUGUCCCUAUGGGUCCCUAUGGGGUCUCAAUGGUUCCCUAUGGGUCCAUACUCACCAUGUGUGGGUCGUCGGGUCCCCUCCCCACUUUGGGUCUCUAUGGAUCCCUAUGGGUCCCUAUGGGUCCCUAUGGGUCUCUGUGGGUCUGAAUGGGCUUCAAUGGGGUCCCUAUGGGUCUCAAUGGUUCCCUAUGGGUCCCUAUGGGUCUGA